rnacentral:rRNA from 1 species
ACUGAACGCUGGCGGCAUGCCUUACACAUGCAAGUCGAACGGCAGCACGGGAGCAAUCCUGGUGGCGAGUGGCGAACGGGUGAGUAAUACAUCGGAACGUGCCCAAUCGUGGGGGAUAACGCAGCGAAAGCUGUGCUAAUACCGCAUACGAUCUACGGAUGAAAGCAGGGGAUCGCAAGACCUUGCGCGAAUGGAGCGGCCGAUGGCAGAUUAGGUAGUUGGUGAGGUAAAGGCUCACCAAGCCGUCGAUCUGUAGCUGGUCUGAGAGGACGACCAGCCACACUGGGACUGAGACACGGCCCAGACUCCUACGGGAGGCAGCAGUGGGGAAUUUUGGACAAUGGGCGAAAGCCUGAUCCAGCCAUGCCGCGUGCAGGAUGAAGGCCUUCGGGUUGUAAACUGCUUUUGUACGGAACGAAACGGCCUUUUCUAAUAAAGAGGGCUAAUGACGGUACCGUAAGAAUAAGCACCGGCUAACUACGUGCCAGCAGCCGCGGUAAUACGUAGGGUGCAAGCGUUAAUCGGAAUUACUGGGCGUAAAGCGUGCGCAGGCGGUUAUGUAAGACAGUUGUGAAAUCCCCGGGCUCAACCUGGGAACUGCAUCUGUGACUGCAUAGCUAGAGUACGGUAGAGGGGGAUGGAAUUCCGCGUGUAGCAGUGAAACGCGUAGAUAUGCGGAGGAACACCGAUGGCGAAGGCAAUCCCCUGGACCUGUACUGACGCUCAUGCACGAAAGCGUGGGGAGCAAACAGG